CUCUCAGUAAGACCCACAAGGCCAAGCCUGGGUUUCUAGCCUCAGCUGAGCCCCCUCCCCUCUCUCCCAGGCAGGCUCUAGCCAGACUGAGCUGCUUUCAGCUCUCUCUCCUCCCCUCCGGGUGUUUGCACAGACAAAUCCCUCCCUGCCCCAUCCUCUUUCACCUGGCUAACACCUCAUCCCUGACCAUCGUGGGAGGGGGUGGAUCCUGACCCCUAAGAUGGGUCCUUGUUCAGUUGAGGACUGGGGUAUAAGUCCCAUGAGAUCUCCUGAGGUACCCCACCUCUCAGAAAAAAAA